rnacentral:rRNA from 1 species
AUUGAACGCUGGCGGCAGGCCUAACACAUGCAAGUCGAGCGGAUGACGGGAGCUUGCUCCUUGAUUCGGCGGCGGACGGGUGAGUAAUGCCUAGGAAUCUGCCUGGUAGUGGGGGACAACGUUUCGAAAGGAACGCUAAUACCGCAUACGUCCUACGGGAGAAAGCAGGGGACCUUCGGGCCUUGCGCUAUCAGAUGAGCCUAGGUCGGAUUAGCUAGUUGGUGAGGUAAUGGCUCACCAAGGCGACGAUCCGUAACUGGUCUGAGAGGAUGAGCAGUCACACUGGAACGGAGACACGGUCCAGACUCCUACGGGAGGCAGCAGUGGGGAAUAUUGGACAAUGGGCGAAAGCCUGAUCCAGCCAUGCCGCGUGUGUGAAGAAGGUCUUCGGAUUGUAAAGCACUUUAAGUUGGGAGGAAGGGCAGUAAGUUAAUACCUUGCUGUUUUGACGUUACCGACAGAAUAAGCACCGGCUAACUCUGUGCCAGCCGCCGCCGUAAUAC